GUGUGUGUAUAAUGCUGCACCAGUCCUUGUGUGAUUUUGCAGUUGCGUAUACCCAUAACUACGCUCUCGUACAGUGGCUCCACCUAUCUGAAACCCUAGUUUGCCCAUUGGGAGACCAGGUGACAUGAAAAUAGGGGGAAAUUUGGUGAAAAGAAAGAACCAUCAUUUCAGAUUUAACAAUAGAUGUCUUACAUCUGGGAUGUGAGAAUGUGGUUGAAAAUCAUUCAAUGAUUGUCUAGAAGAUCUUUGAUUUGUUGUUUACAUUUGACAGUUUAAUUUAAUGCAUAGAGAGCGAGGGAUUCAAGUGAGAAGGUUUGGAUUGUGCUGGAUUUUUCACAAUUUGCUGACUCUACUGCUGACAAUUUGGGUGUGCCAACCUCCCUUUUGUGCUAUUUUUGCAAAAGAAAUGUUACUUGAAAUUGUGGGUUGUUGUUUCACUUUUGAUAAUCCAAGGAUACAUGGGACAAAUACAGGGAGAUGAGGAAGAUGAAUUCAGUGCUUGGGAUUCUGUCCACUACAACAGAAGCUUGCUUUUAAGGGGGAGCAAAAAAGGAUCAAAAGGCUGCUCUUUCAAAGGAGGAACAUUGUUCACAAGAAGCUUCUUCUUAUCUGUCAGUUUCUAAAGUAAUGGGAAUGGCAUCACACAACACAUGUGAGUCACCCCCCCCCCUCCCUUUUUUGAGCCCCAAUUCUAGUAUAUUUGUUCUGUGGGGAACCCUAAAAUGAAGAACAGAAAAAAACAGAUGUGAAUUCUGGGCUCUCCAUGGAUAUGAAUUGAGUGUGUAGUUAUUGAAAACCCAUCAAUCACAACUUUUCUCUCUUUUUUUUCUUUUUUUCAAUGGUGUAUGGCAUUUAUGGUUCGAAACUACAACAAAAUGUGGUGGGAGUUUUGGGCAUUCCCUUAGUUACUCACUCACUCACUCACAUGCUUCAUCCAUAGAUGUGGAUUGUGGAUUGGACAACUCUCACAUGAAUCAUUGUGUGUGUGCAUGUAUGCAUGUGAAUAUUUAUAUGAUAAAUUUGUGUACAAGUGAAAUAAUCAUACAAGCAGGUUGCAUUAUAUGAAGUGAGUGAAAGGUUUGAGAUUUUGGUAGAAUGAUCCAUUUGAAGACACAAAUUGUUUUAAAAAGAAUGACUAAUGUAUGCAAUAUUCUACUGCGUGUUAUACACAAGUCAUCAAAAAAAAAACAAAAAAAAAACAAAAAAAAAACAAAAAAAAACAAAACCAAAACCAAAACCAAAAUUGGCUACAUCUAUAAAACUUUGAGAUAAAAUGUUUUUUGUUUGCAUAAUUCAGAAAGAUCAUCUAUUGUCCACGUUGGAAUGACUACACACAUAGAUACAUGCCUAUGAAAUGCCAGCAAAGCUCAUUCUAUUCUACAUGUUGCCACAUCAUCCAAGUAGCAAUUCACACUCUUCUAGAUAAGAUGUGUUGCAGAAUUGGCCAAUAGGAUGGUUGUCUAUUUCAAAGCUACCACAGUAGGAUAUUGGAUCAAUAGGUCUUCAGCAGAAAGAAUCCACACUCAGAAUAUAUUGAGACAUAAUAUGUGACUGUGCUCAAAUAAUAAUAAUAAUAAUAAAAAAAUGUCAAGUAAACCUCUCA